rnacentral:antisense_RNA from 1 species
GUUCAAGCGAUUCUCCUGCCUCAGCCCCCUGAGUAGCUGGGAUUACAGGCGCGCGCCACCACUCCCAGCAGGAAACUGCUCAACAGUCAGGUCUUGAAAGUAAGUUGAGGCAACUGCAGGAGGGCUGCAUGGCGGGAAAGAAAUUGCUGAAAAUAGGCUGGGUGAGCUGGCUCGUACCUGUGAUCCCAGCACUUUGGGAAGUGAAGUUGGGCGGAUCACUUGAGGGUCUUACUCUGUGACCCACGCUGGAGUGCAAUGGCACCAUCAUGACUUACUGCAGCCUCGACUUCCCGGGCUCAAGUGAUUCUCACACCUCAGCCUCCCGAGUAGCUGAGACCACAG